GAUGAACGCUAGCGGCAGGCCUAAUACAUGCAAGUCGAACGGGGCAGCAAUGCUUUAGUGGCGCACGGGUGCGUAACGCGUAUACAACCUACCUCUAUCUGGGGGAUAGCCCGGAGAAAUUCGGAUUAACACCGCAUAAGAAGGUAGCCUCGCAUGGGGCAGCCUUUAGAAUUUUAUGGAUAGAGAUGGGUAUGCGUCUGAUUAGUUAGUUGGCGGGGUAACGCCACCAAGACGAUGAUCAGUAGGGGUUCUGAGAGGAUGAUCAGCCACACUGGGACUGAGACACGGCCCAGACUCCUACGGGAGCAGCAGUGGGAAUAUUGGACAAUGGGCGAAAGCCUGAUCCAGCAAUGCCGCGUGAGUGAUGAA
rnacentral:rRNA from 1 species